rnacentral:rRNA from 1 species
UACGUAGGGGGCAAGCGUUGUCCGGAUUUAUUGGGCGUAAAGAGCGUGUAGGCGGCUAGGUAGGUCCGUUGUGAAAACUCGAGGCUCAACCUCGAGACGCCGGUGGAAACCAUCUAGCUAGAGUCCGGAAGAGGAGAGUGGAAUUCCUGGUGUAGCGGUGAAAUGCGCAGAUAUCAGGAAGAACACCCGUGGCGAAGGCGGCUCUCUGGGACGUGACUGACGCUGAGACGACGAAAGCCGUGGGGAGCGAAACAGG